GCGCCCAUAGCUCAGUUGGUUAGAGCGCUACAUUGACAUUGUAGAGGUCAGAAGUUCAAGUCUUCUUGGGCGCACCA
rnacentral:tRNA from 1 species